rnacentral:rRNA from 1 species
UACGUAGGUGGCAAGCGUUGUCCGGAUUUACUGGGUGUAAAGGGGGCGCAGACGGCGAUGCAAGCCAGGAGUGAAAGCCCGGGGCCCAACCCCGGGACUGCUCUUGGAACUGCGUGGCUGGAGUGCAGGAGGGGCAGGCGGAAUUCCUGGUGCAGCGGUGAAAUGCGUAGAUAUCAGGAGGAACACCGGUGGCGAAGGCGGCCUGCUGGACUGCAACUGACGUUGAGGCCCGAAAGCGUGGGGAGCAAACAGG